AACGAACGCUGGCGGCAGGCCUAACACAUGCAAGUCGAACGCUCGUAGCAAUACGGGAGUGGCAGACGGGUGCGUAACGCGUGGGAACAUACCCUUUGGUUCGGAAUAACUCAGGGAAACUUGAGCUAAUACCGGAUACGCCCGAGAGGGGAAAGAUUUAUUGCCGAAGGAUUGGCCCGCGUCUGAUUAGCUAGUUGGUAGGGUAACGGCCUACCAAGGCGACGAUCAGUAGCUGGUCUGAGAGGAUGAUCAGCCACACUGGGACUGAGACACGGCCCAGACUCCUACGGGAGGCAGCAGUGGGGAAUAUUGGACAAUGGGCGCAAGCCUGAUCCAGCCAUGCCGCGUGAGUGAUGACGGCCUUAGGGUUGUAAAGCUCUUUUACCUGGGAAGAUAAUGACGGUACCAGGAGAAUAAGCCCCGGCUAACUUCGUG
rnacentral:rRNA from 1 species